AUUGAACGCUGGCGGCAGGCCUAACACAUGCAAGUCGAGCGGAGCGGCGGACGGGUGAGUAAUGCCUAUGAAUCUGCCUGGUCGUGGGGGCUAACGUCCGGUAACGGGCGCUAAUACCGCAUACUAUCAGAUUAGCCUAGGUCGGAUUAGCUAGUGGGUGGGGUAAAGGCCUACCAAGGCGACGAUCCGUAACUGGUCUGAGAGGAUGAUCAGUCACACUGGAACUGAGACACGGUCCAGACUCCUACGGGAGGCAGCAGUGGGGAAUAUUGGACAAUGGGCGAAAGCCUGAUCCAGCCAUGCCGCGUGUGUGAAGAAGGUCUUCGGAUUGUAAAGCACUUUAAGUUGGGAGGCGGUACCAACAGAAUAAGCACCGGCUAACUACGUGCCAGCAGCCGCGGUAAUAC
rnacentral:rRNA from 1 species